rnacentral:tRNA from 1 species
UAAAAUAAUUAAGUAUAUUAAAAUUAUACUAUUACUUAAUAAUAUAUAAUAAUUAAUUAAAUUUUUAAAAAUUUUUAAAUUUAAUUUUAU